GGUAUCAGCAGCCUGCUCCAUGCGUAACGGCCUCUGAUUCUCCUCGUGCGUACGCUCGAGCGGAUCUGCUAGGCUGUCUUAGUAUGGCUCUGGAUACUGGGCUGGGCCGAAAGUCGGGCCGGACGCUGAGCCUGAGAGGAGAGGGCCUGCUGGUCGCGGACUGGGCCGAUCUGAGUGAAGAAGCUUGGUUGAGCCCGGCCUUGAAGGUUGAAUGAGCCAGGCUUGUUGUGCAUAUCAGGUGCGUGGGCCUCUACGUUAUGGGCCUUUGGCUGUGGUCAAGCCCCUGAUCCGGGGUGAAGAAAUCCAGCGGUCAUCAAUUGCCCCUUCACCUUCUCGGUAGUUAUUGCUCCCACUGCCGAGGGGGUGAAUAUCAAGAACCAUUAUGACCGCGCCUGUUCGUGUUCAGGUGCCUUAAUAAUAUCCUUUCAUCUUUCUGUCGUUGUGUAGUUUCCGAAUCCUAUCUGCUCUUUCCCCCUUCUGGCUUUUCUCCAUUCUUCGUGUUCUUUGCUGUCUUUGCUUUCCUGUCAUCAUUAUCUGGACAUGUCCUUUCUUUCCUUUUCCAUGACUAUCUUUUAAAAUUCUGACACCGUUAGCUUAGAGUCUAGCAUAGCUCUGCCCCGUGCUAAGGCCUCAGGCUCCGGGUAUAUAUCAACGCUAACUUUUCUUCAUUCUCAAAUCCUCUGCUGGAACAAGAGGUUCUUCCUUUCCGUUUCUCUGUCUGCUUCUUUCCUCCAGCGAGAUUGUUCUGAUUGUUCUGUUUUAUCUGCAAAGGAUCCAUUUGACGCCUUCUUCAAACGGAAUGAGGUGAGCUUGAGUUUGUAUUG
rnacentral:lncRNA from 1 species